AUUGAACGCUAGCGGCAGGCUUAAUACAUGCAAGUCGAGGGGCAGCAUGGUGUAGCAAUACACUGAUGGCGACCGGCAAACGGGUGCGGAACACGUACACAACCUCCCUUCAAGCGGGGCAUAGCCCAGAGAAAUUUGGAUUAAUACCCCAUAGAAUAUUGGAAAGGCAUCUUUUUGAUAUUAAAGAUUUAUCACUUGAAGAUGGGUGUGCGGCUGAUUAGGUAGUUGGCGGGGUAACGGCCCACCAAGCCUUCGAUCAGUAACUGGUGUGAGCGCACGACCAGUCACACGGGCACUGAGACACGGGCCCGACUCCUACGGGAGGCAGCAGUAAGGAAUAUUGGUCAAUGGACGAAAGUCUGAACCAGCCAUGCCGCGUGGAGGAUGAAGGUCCUCUGGAUUGUAAACUUCUUUUAUAUGGGACGAAAAAGGGGCUUUCUAGCUCAACUGACGGUACCAUAUGAAUAAGCACCGGCUAACUCCGUGCCAGCCGCCGCCGUAAUAC
rnacentral:rRNA from 1 species